rnacentral:rRNA from 1 species
AGAGUUUGAUCCUGGCUCAGAUUGAACGCUGGCGGCAUGCCUUACACAUGCAAGUCGAACGGUAACGCGGGGCAACCUGGCGACGAGUGGCGAACGGGUGAGUAACGCAUCGGAACGUGCCCAGUAGUGGGGGAUAGCCCGGCGAAAGCCGGAUUAAUACCGCAUACGACCUACGGGUGAAAGCGGGGGAUCGCGAGACCUCGCGCUAUUGGAGCGGCCGAUGUCAGAUUAGGUAGUUGGUGAGGUAAAGGCUCACCAAGCCUUCGAUCUGUAGCUGGUCUGAGAGGACGACCAGCCACACUGGGACUGAGACACGGCCCAGACUCCUACGGGAGGCAGCAGUGGGGAAUUUUGGACAAUGGGCGCAAGCCUGAUCCAGCCAUGCCGCGUGCGGGAAGAAGGCCUUCGGGUUGUAAACCGCUUUUGUCAGGGAAGAAACGCUCUGGGCUAAUACCCCGGGGUAAUGACGGUACCUGAAGAAUAAGCACCGGCUAACUACGUGCCAGCAGCCGCGGUAAUACGUAGGGUGCAAGCGUUAAUCGGAAUUACUGGGCGUAAAGCGUGCGCAGGCGGUUAUGCAAGACAGAUGUGAAAUCCCCGGGCUUAACCUGGGAACUGCAUUUGUGACUGCAUGGCUAGAGUGCGGCAGAGGGGGAUGGAAUUCCGCGUGUAGUAGUGAAAUGCGUAGAUAUGCGGAGGAACACCGAUGGCGAAGGCAAUCCCCUGGGCCUGCACUGACGCUCAUGCACGAAAGCGUGGGGAGCAAACAGGAUUAGAUACCCUGGUAGUCCACGCCCUAAACGAUGUCAACUGGUUGUUGGAAGGGUUCCCUUUCAGUAACGAAGCUAACGCGUGAAGUUGACCGCCUGGGGAGUGCGGCCGCAAGGUUGAAACUCAAAGGAAUUGACGGGGACCCGCACAAGCGGUGGAUGAUGUGGUUUAAUUCGAUGCAACGCGAAAACCUUACCUACCCUUGACAUGUCUGGAAUUCUGCAGAGAUGUGGAAGUGCUCGAAAGAGAACCAGAACACAGGUGCUGCAUGGCCGUCGUCAGCUCGUGUCGUGAGAUGUUGGGUUAAGUCCCGCAACGAGCGCAACCCUUGUCAUUAGUUGCUACGAAAGGGCACUCUAAUGAGACUGCCGGUGACAAACCGGAGGAAGGUGGGGAUGACGUCAGGUCCUCAUGGCCCUUAUGGGUAGGGCUACACACGUCAUACAAUGGCCGGUACAGAGGGCUGCCAACCCGCGAGGGGGAGCUAAUCCCAGAAAACCGGUCGUAGUCCGGAUCGCAGUCUGCAACUCGACUGCGUGAAGUCGGAAUCGCUAGUAAUCGCGGAUCAGCUUGCCGCGGUGAAUACGUUCCCGGGUCUUGUACACACCGCCCGUCACACCAUGGGAGCGGGUUCUGCCAGAAGUAGUUAGCCUAACCGCAAGGAGGGCGAUUACCACGGCAGGGUUCGUGACUGGGGUGAAGUCGUAACAAGGUA